rnacentral:rRNA from 1 species
CAAUAGCGUAUACUAAAGUUGUUGCAGUUAAAAAGCUCGUAGUCGAAUUCGGGUUUGAGCGCGCGUAGUGGUCCCUUUAGGGUCUACGGCGCACCCAAACUCAAUUUUGUCGUUACAAGUCUGUUUUUCAGAAAGCAGUCUGUAGAGCGGCAAUUUUUUACUGUGAACAAAAUAGAGUGUUCAUGGCAGGCCUUUGAAAGGCUUAAAUACCUCAGCAUGGAUUAAUAGAAUAGGACUUCCGGUUCUAUUUUGCUGGUUUUUGGAGCCGAAGUAAUGAUUAAUAGGGAUAGUUGGGGGCACUCGUACUCCGUUGUCAGAGGUGAAAUUCUUGGAUUUACGGAAGACGAACAACUGCGAAAGCAUCUGCCAAGGAUGUUUUCAUUG